UCUGGGAAACAGAUUGGCUCUGGAAAAGUAGUGUGUGGAGCAAGAUUACUAGAGAAAUAGAAAGAGAAGCCAGGGUACUACCGGGGAGAGUGAAAACGAUGAUUCAUGAACAUUGCGUGAGCGUUAUACCAGACCUAAAAAAGGAGACAAGCUACAGCUCGGAAACUCUCACCUUCAGCAAUAUAACGGGAGAGGCGGUCAAUAAAA